GUCCCUGGAGGCCUGGAUGGUUUUUCUUUUAAUGCUCAAAUAUAUUAAGUUUGAUGACAUUUUUUUUACAGAAAAACAUAUAAUUAUGGUGUGAUUGAUACUAACAAUAUCACGAUAGCCGCUCUCCCUCCCCUAACCUUUUCUAAGAAUUGGUUCGUUGGUAAAGUUUUAUGCGGGAUCUCAACAAAUAUCAAUGUUUCGAGUAAAUUCAUAUGGAUCAAGCGGAAAUCAUCCUUUCAGCUACAACAAAUCGUUAAGACCCUGUCUCUGAAAAGGCUGCAUGUUCCAGCGUUAUACACGAGAAACGUUAUACAGUGCAAGAUCUAUUCAACGACUGUAGUUUUGAUGAAGAAAACCUUUAUUUGAUUCAAUUUAUCAUGUAUUUGUUAGAUCUAUCUUUCUUUUGUACAUGUCGUAUGCCUUUUUAUUAAUGAAUUAAUUUAAAACUUGUAUUUUACCACCUAAAAACAUAUUAAAACUUGUUUUUACCACCUGAAAAUGAAAAAA